CCGACAUUAUCUCUCCCAUCUUCCCCUCAUUACAGGCUCAGUGGUCCUGUCUUCAGUGUCUACCACCCUCCACUGGCCAUCUUGGCCCCGUCCCAACUCUUGGAUCUGUCACCUGCCUCUACAAGCAUGGGUGCCCACAGUAUUCCACAGAUUCCUCUAAUUCGGCUCCACAGAGAGCAUUAGAGGGUGCUCACUGCCUAGGCUUCCCAUAGCUGGUGGUUGCUAAGUCAAGGACUUGAAUUCAGGCUGAAGAAUCACCUUUAUUUUCUGCUGUUCUACGCUUCACAGGAGCCCAUGGCACCCCUGUAGAACCUUCCCCCACACCAUUCUUCUUCGCCUCUGCGGCUUCCUGAGCUCUUCUUGAUCACCUGUCACCGACCCAGACCAAGGCCAACACUCAGAGUGCUUGAUCCAAGGGUGUGCUGGCACCGCACUACUGUGUGGUGAACUUGAAUCACUCCUUGAAGUCCUAGGAGGCUGAGUCUCUGGGGGCGUCUUGGAGCCAGGAGACAGCCAGGAGGCUUUUGUCCUCUAAUACAGAAACUGCUCUUCACCCCCUAGAAGUGGGGCACCAGGCUGUCUCGUCUCUACUCCUCUGGUGGUGAUAAGCAUUGAUGGUGAGGGGUCAUGGCGUCCAUGCAUUAUGCAAAGUGGGUUCCCAUGAGCCUAGGGUGGAGCAGGAAAUGUUAACCUUACUUUUUGGCCAAGAAUUGCACCCAGGAUUGGAUCAGAAGCAUGAGAAUGUGGUGUGGCUUCUUCCUAGGGUUGGAAGGGGUGGUCCUUGCAUGGCUGGUCCUAGGCACUAGGACUCAGACACAUCUGUGCUUCAGCGUGGCCUGGGGUCAUAGGUCAGCUGUGUGGCGAGGCUCUGAGAGAAGCACCAUGGACAGGAACUCAGAGGCCGGCUCUGCCUCCUUGAUCCACGCACUCUUCUGGCUUUCUUUAGACAUCUUCUUCAGCUUCAGCUCCGUUUGACCCUGAGCAGGAUUCUUUCCUGCCCAGCCACAGAGCCUUCCUUGAUCACUUUGCAAUUUUUGCAAUUUUUCUGGACAUCUGAUCGUCACACAACUUCAAUCCUUCCAUCAACUGCGACUGGGUACGGACAGAAGGGCGGAUUACAAUUCUGUAAGGCUCAUAGCUGCACUGGGGUCUGGGAGACAACGUCUGCUGUUGACUCAAUUUGGGACUUCUGUACCUGACUUAGGAGUGUUCUGCCAGAAAGCCAAGUGGCAGUCUGUGACAUAUGAGGCAUUUCCAAUGCUCAAUUGUUGCUAAUAUUCUAGAAAUAUCGCCUCAAGUCCUAAAGGUGUAUUAAAAACCCAUCAGUCCUGAUUGCUUAGAGAGCCCGGGGGAAGUGGACAUCGAAAAGAAUGUGUGUGAAUCAAGACAACUUGGUUUCUUCCUGCCACGUCUGGCACCUCCUGUUCUUUUCUUCCCCCUUUGCACUGGAAUGACCACUAUGUAACUGUGGAACGAGGGCAGACAGCCUUGCUUCAUUCCCGUGUUCUCAUGAGGAACAGUCAGCGUUCCGUCUUUAUGAUGAAGUGGUGGUUUUCUUCAGAGAUGCCUUUUAUCAGAUUGAAGUUUCCUUUCCUGCUUUACUCAGUUGAUUUUAAGAAAUAAUAAUAAUAAUUAUAUAUAAUAAUAAUGUUAUUAUUAUCAUCAUCAUCAUUUUAGGGCAAGGUCUCACUCUAGACCAGGGCUGGCCUUGAACUCACAACAAUUUGCUUUCCUCUGCCUUCUGAAUACUGGAAUUGAAGGCGUCCAUCACUACACCUGGCCUCCUAUCAUCAUCUUCUUCUUCUUCUUCUUCAUCAUUUGAGACUAUGGUCUCACCAUGUAGACCAGCCUGGCCUUGAGCUCACUCUGUAGACCAGGCUGGCCUCAAACUCAUAGAGAUCAGCCUGCCUCUGCCUCCUGAGUAUUGGGAUUAUAGGUAUGUACUACCAUGCCUAGUCAAUUUUUUUAAAAAAUAAAAAUUUUUAUGUGCAUUGGUGUGAAGGUGUCAGAGUCCCAGGAACUGGAGUUACAGACAGUUGUGAGCUGCCAUGUGGGUGCUGGGAAUUGAACCUGGGUCCUCUGGAAGAGCAGCCAGUGCUAUUAACUGCUGAGUCAUCUCUCCAGCUGCCCCCAGUUACUUUUUUAAAAAGACUUAAAAUAUCUUAUUUUAAUAAUUAUGUGUGUGUGUGCCACAUGGGUGCAGAUUCACUUAGAGGGCAGAGGUGUGUGAUCCCCGGGAGCUGGAUUUAUAUAUAGGAGGCUGUAAGCCAACAGAUGUGGGUGCUGGGAAUUGAACCAGGGUCCUCUGCAAGGGCAGUAGUGCUUUUAACCACUGAGCAAUCGCCAGCCCCAGGCAUCAGAUCUACCUGGAACUGAAGUUACAUAAAGUUGUGAGUGGCCCAAAGUGAGUAUUGGGAAUUGAACUUGGAUCUUCUACAAGAGACCAGUAUGUGCUCUUAACUGCACAGCCAUCUCUCAAGCCUCCAGCUUUUACUUGAGACAGGGUCUCUCUAUGUAGCCUUGGCUAGCCUGGAACUUUCUAUGUAGACCAGGCUGGCCUUGAACUCAUAGAUCCACCGUGCUGGGAUUAAAGACAUGUGCCACUGUGCUUGGCUUAGCAAGACUUUCUGUUCAGAACAUGAUCUUUUUUGUAGAUCUUUUUUCUUUCUAUGACAGGGUUUCUAUAUGUAGCUGUGACUGUCUUGGAACUUGCUCUGUAGAUCAGGCUGGCCUUGAACUCAGAGAUCUGCCUCCUGAGUGCUGGCAUUAAAGGUGUGUGCCACCACAUCCAGUGUGUAUAUUAGUUCUGAAAAACAAUGUGCAUUCUGCUGUGGAGUGGAAUGCUCUGCAAAUGUCAAUUAAGUCAUCAGGUGGAGCCAUUCAGUUCCUGGACAUCCUUACUGACUCUGUGUCUACGCCUCCUUUCGGACCCUGAGAGGAGCGCUGAAGUCUUCAACUAUGAUGGCAGAUCCCACUGUUUCUCCAUGGAAGUUACAUCAGGUUUCCUCGGUUUCGCUGUGUAACAGUCCUGGCUAUCCUGGAACUUGCUUUGUAGACCAGAUUGGCCUCAAACACACAGAGGUCCUCCUGCUUCUUCCUCCCGAGUGCUGGGAUUAAAGGUGUGAGUUACCAUCAUCUGGUUAAAUAUUUAUUUUUAAAAUGAUUUUUUAUUUAUUUUUUUUAUUUUUUGGUUUUUUCAAGACAGGGUUUCUCUGUGUAGCUUUGCGCCUUUCCUGGUACUCGCUUUGGAGACCAGGCUGGCCUCGAACUCACAGAGAUCCACCUGCCUCUGCCUCCCGAGUGCUGGGAUUAAAGGCGUGUGAUUUUUAAAUUUUGUGUAUGCAUGUGUGGCUGUGUACAGGUAUGUGCAUGUGAGUGCAGAUGCCAGUGGAAGCCAGAAGAGGGCGCACUGGAUUCCUUUGGAGCUGGAGUUGUAGGUGGUUGUGAGCUUUCUGACCUAGAUGCUGGGAUGUGAACGUGGGCCUUUUACAAGAGCAGCAAGUGCUCUCAACUGCAGAACUGCCUCUCUAGCCCCUCCCUUCCUUCCCUUUCCUGACUCUGACAGCAUCUGACAGCUCAGGCUGAGUUCAAACUCCCUGUGUGACCAAAGCUGUCCUUGAACUCCUGAUCCCCUUGUCCCUGUCCCUGAGUGCUGGGACUGUAGGCCACACUUGGACAUUAUACUAGUUUUUCUUCACAUACUCUGACACUCUGAUGUUAAAGAUACAAUCCUUUAGGAUAGUUAUUCAUUCUUUUGUUUUGCAGCCCUGGGGAUGGAACUCAGAGCCUUGCAUAUACUGGGCAAAAACUUCAUUUUCUAGGCCUAGACAUUCCUUUUAAAAUGAUGAUAGCAUUGCUAUUAUUUUGGUUUCCUUUAUAUAUAAUUAUUCAUUUAUUUAUUUACUUAUUAUUUAUUUAUUGAGUUCAAUGCUUCUCUGGCUGGCUUUGAAUGUGCUGUGUACUUAAGGAUGACCUGAGAUAUCUUAUCCCUUUGCUUCUAUCUAACAAGUUUCUGGGAUUACAAGCAGGUGCUACCACACCUGGCUUAGGAGGUACUGGGACUCAAAUCCAAGUUUUUGUGCAUGCUAGGCAAGUGCUCAACCUCCUGGGCUACACCCCCAGCCCCUAUUAGUAUUGUUUCUUGAGACAAGGUCUUACUAUAUAGCUUAGGCUAGCCUGCUUAGGCUAGCCUGGAAGUUACUGUGUCACCCAGGCUGUCCUCGAACUUGCAAUCCUUCUAUCUCUGCCUUGUGAGUACAGGGAUUACAGGUGUACACAACCAUGUUUGGCUUUACUUUUCCCAAGUUUCCUUCUAUAAUUAAAAAAUUAGCAUUUAUUUGUUAAUUACUGUGCUAUGUAUGUGUAUGCGCGCGCGUGUGUGUGUGUGUGUGUGUGUGUGUGUGUGAGUGUGUGUGUGUGUGUGUGUGUGUGUGUGUGUGUGUGUGCAUGCACAUGCACUCCUGCACAUAUGGAGGUCAUAGGACUAUUUACAGGAGUCAGUUUUCUUCUACUGUGUAGUCCCGGGGGUUGAACUCAGGUUGUCGGCAAGCACCUUUCCUGACUACUUUCCCUAACCCUUGACCAAGUAACCUCUUUAUCACGGUGAAACGAUCUCCUUUGAUCUGUUAUUUGAUUUUAAACCUGCUUUGAUAUUGAUAUAGAACUUUAGCUUUCUUUCUGUAGUCUCACUUUCGUGGUACUGGGGAUUAACGUUAGCACAAGCUAUCACUUUCCUUUUAAUCUUUGUAUUUUUAUAUUUAAAGUAAAUUUUAAAUGGGCAGCAUGUAGUUGAGUCUUUUUUUUCUUCUUCUCUUUUUCCAGAGCCCGUGUAUCCCAGCAAGCAUCCAUCAAUAUAGCUACAUCCCCAGCCUAAGUGUCACAUUUUCUGUCUACUUAGGCAAUCUCGGCUGUUUAGAAGUGACUUGGUGUGUGUGGGGGGGUGGGUGGGGAGGGGAGAGGGCAGUGCUGGAGACUGAACCCAGGACAAUGCUCUUAUGUACGCUGAACACUUUCUUUAGAAGGGAGCUACGUGACAUCUGCCUUUGGUGUUUAAAUGGAUUGUUCUGUUAUUUCCUUUCCAUGUGUCCUCUGCUUUUUUUUUAUGCCCCCUCCUUUAGAUUAUGUAUUUGUAUGAUUCUACCGGAUUUUCAAAGCUAUGACUCCGUCUUGUUAUUUUAGUUGCUUUAAGGCUCAGACUAUGCAACUUUAACUUAUCACAAGUCUACCUUCAAAUGGUAAUAGGAUAACAGACCAACACACCAGUUAGAGAGAACCCUCAACAGUGUGACAUCGUUUCCUCCUCAUGACUGGGUGUUUGAAAUGGAACUUAGAGAUGAGAAAGGGCUGGGAUACUGCUCAGAGGCACAGCAUCUGCUGAGCACUUGAGAGACUCCAUAUUUAACAGAGAGACAGAGAGAUAGACAGAGAGAGACAGACAGACAGACACAGAGAGAAUGAAAGCAUAUGAAUGUGAAUUUGUAAUGAUCAAACUAAGCCAGUGAACAGCACACCAGAGAGUUCUCUGUGCUUCCAGAGUGUGGAAAGCAGAAGACUAGGAAUGCUAUCUAAGGAGGAAGAGGGAAGAUCACACAAAUGGGGUGGGGGGAGCUCAGAUUCGAGGAAUGAAGGGAGAGUCAGGGUUGAAGAUGCUCUUCCCCCACUGGGUAAGGCGUCAGAAGACACUGACAUUCCCACAGGAGUCUGGUUCCUGUCUUACCACCCUUAAGUGACACUGGCCAGGCGGUAAGACCUACAGUUGAAGGGAUCCCACUGAGCUCCUUAUUUGGUUUCAUUCUUGAAUAGGGGCGACCAGGGGCCACCAACUAUUUGACAAAACUGUCAAUAAGCAGGUGGAACAGUGAUCUCAGGACACCAAAGGUGAUUUGAAAAACAGAGUACUUAGAAGAGAAGCUGAUCGUUUUCAGAGAUUCAAGGAUGACACUAAAAAUGUAUCACAUUAAAAAAAUAAUAACAGGACACUAUGAAAAAAAGAAUGAAAGAAAGGAGAAAGCUUUCUGGCAGAUAGCACUGGAAACCAAGAAAGAGUAUUUCCAGAGAGAGGACCCCAAAUAUCGAGCUGUAGUGACAGAAGAGAAUUAGUAGGGAGUCUGCUUUUUUUCAUAUGUGUGCAUGUGUGUGUGUGCAUUUGCACAUGUGUGUGCAUGUGGAGGCUGGAGGGACAGCCUUGCGUGUCCUUUCUCAGGCACCUUCUACAUUGCUGUUUGAGACAGACUCUCUUACUGGCUCCUCAGGCCAGCCAGGGUCUCAGGGUUCCUCCUGCCUGCCUUCUUAGCAUUGAGAUCAUAGGCACUACCACCGUGUCUGUUUUACGUGAGUUCUGGGGGUUGAACUCAGAGCCUCAGGCUUGCAAGAUUCUGAUAAGAUCCUAUCUUCUCCACCCAGAUCUGUUUAUGAAAUCUGGAAGGAGGCCUGGUGAGAACAGAGAAGUUGGAGAAGAAAAAAUAACACUUCCCUUAGGUGAAGGCUCUCACCGGCUUGGAAAGUUCUCUGGUUACUGGGCAGACCGGCUGUGGCCGUUGUUUAUAUCAGCAGAUUCAGUGAAUGGUGCGUAUCAAAUGGCAUAUACCUCCAAGAAGAGGACUGAAGAAGAGGCCUGGGUACCAUGAAGAUCUGACCAAGAGGGACCUCAACUCACUCUCUAGAGCUGCGGUUCUCAACCUUCCUAAUGCUGUGACCCCCCAUCCCAAUUAAUACAGUUCAUGUUGUGCUGACCCCCAACCAUAAAAUUAUUUUCACUGCUA